CCUGUAGAGGCUGGACAAACCAGGCACCGCCCGCAUCUAUCCAGCUAGGAGGAGCUAAGCACCGCGCGGCCUUCUGGGAAAUGUAGUGUCCGAAAAGACCGGGAGAACAGUGGGAGAGACUGUGAGCUUUUGUAGUCAAUUAGAGCCGGGCUGGGGCUUGGCACGUGACCAUUGCAGUCAGCUGUUCUGCGGCUCCUUUUCUCACCUGCAGCGAGUAGGGAUUGCGAGCUAUGGGUAGGAGCUCUUGCCAAAGCCUGGCCUCGACUUCUGGGCUGGCUCGCUUCCUCAGUCCCUGAGCUGUCCCUGUUGGCCCGACGCUGCGCCGCCUGCAUGUUUGCAUAUACUUAAACUUGCCCUGGUUCUCCAUGACCUUGUGUCAACUUGCAGGCCCUGUAGGACGUCACCGGGCUCUUCUACCGCGGCUUCUGCAGCAGCCAAACUGAACCACUCCAAUUGCUUCAGAACUUUAGUGAAUAAGCCAUUAAUUGGUUAUUGGAACGCCUCAUUUUGGGGAACCUUUUCCACUACCUGUUCUCAGUCUACCACCUUGUCCUCGCCCAUGACCCUGUCGCCUCAGAAACAUGAUGUAGGGGGACUACAUCCCCUAACCUCUCAGAGGCCUCCGCUGUGCUGCAUCUUACAGACAGAAUCCCAUGGAGACGGGGUUCCUGCUGUCACACAGGCCAUUAUGCAGAUUUUGGAACCCAGGGUUGACGCCACACACAGCCCGAAACCUCUCAGGACGUGUGCUGCCAAGCACUGAUCGUCAAAGCCUCUCUGUUGUUUAUAGCUGCUGUCCAUCUGUGGCUGUGUUUCUGGGCUCAGUUCUGUUCCAGUGGUCUCCAUCUCUGCCCCAGUUCCAAUGCCACAGUCUAAUGACCACACGUUGUAAGUCUUGUCUGCUACGGCAAG